rnacentral:lncRNA from 1 species
CAUCAAGCUCGGGAAGUUAAAGACUCACCCGCCCCACGCCUCUCUUAAGGCCAAUAACACUGCUCAGAGGGAAGGUUCAAAAGCUAGGCAGAGAGAAACCGUAACGUUUAUGACGGCGGGAUAAAGACCCUUUCCCACAGAAUGCCAUGCCUUUGUGAAAUGAUUAUAAGGAAUCGUCCCUUGAAUAUAGACUGCUGUGACUGUUGGGCGAGCGCUGCCCCUGCCGAAAGUGAGAGGAGAGCAGAAAGUGCAAGAAAGUCAAAGUGGCUACCCCGAGGCUUGUAGCACCACGCUCUACAGGACCUGGAAGUAAGAGGAGGACUCCCACCCCAUAAAAUGACAGGCAAUAACGUAAUAGAAUCCCAUUAUAGACAUGUGUUGACCACACUGGAUGAUCAAAAGGCCACCAAUGAAUAUACUAUCAACAGCACAGAGGACGUGCCCACAGUCCCACACCCAGUGGACCCCAUCCCAACCAUUGGGCCAAGGAAGAGAGUAUGGAGUUUGCUCUCCAGAUCACCAUGCUCUGGUUCCUGUCUGUAUACAGCUUUGCAAAUGGUGGAAUGAUUGUGUCAUUAUUUGGUGGGUUGCUUGGGGACAAGCUUGAAAGGUAG